rnacentral:misc_RNA from 1 species
GCUCAAUGGAAGACUGCUUGGCCCAUCUUGGAGAAAAAGUGUCCCAGGAACUGAAAGAGCCUCUCCAUAAAGCAUUGCAAAUGCUCCUGAGCCAGCCAGUGACAUAUCAGGCAUUUCGGGAAUGUACACUGGAGACCACAGUUCAUGCCAGCGGCUGGAAUAAGAUUUUGGUGCCUCUGGUUUUGCUACGACAAAUGCUUUUGGAAUUGACAAGACGUGGUCAAGAACCUUUGAGCGCACUGCUGCAGUUUG